rnacentral:lncRNA from 1 species
UAUAAACGAAAAUUCGACCAGAAUGAAGGAGACGGAGAUUUUAGAAGAGAAAGAGAGAUUUUGAAGGAGAAAACGAAGAGAGAACAAGAGGAAAAUAUCGCGCCAAUUGAAGAAUUGAUUGAAACUUAAUUCGGGUGAUGACGUUUCUUCAACUAUUUUUUUAUUUUCUUCUUUUUAGCAUGUUAGGCUAGACUUUUCAUGUACUAGGAGAUCGAUGAACC